CUGACAGUCGCAGUAGAACGUAAUCAGAAACAUCACAUGGGGCGUGUUGGUUGUGGGCGAACGUUGUCCUGGAUACCGAAGCACGAGACGUUACAAAAAUUAUAACUGAUUGCUCAUUAUCUUCUUUGUGUUCAAGCGCAUGUGAACAAAAAUGUGUCCAAUCAGACAAACACAUUUACUCGGAUCAGAAACAGAACGUGUUAUGUCAACACGCCAAUUUAAAAUCUCAGAUUUUUUACUAUUUUCCUGUGGAUUCAUUCAUGGCUCUGAGGCUGGAGUGGAGAAAAAGAAAACCGACCACACAUAACCUAGCACUGGUCAGCAAAGACUGAGGUCACACUGCAAAUCCAGGGGGUGCUGGUUUGGGUAAUGUUAAUGUUAAUGUUGCAUUGCAUCUGUAGUUAUAUUUUGAGCACGCACAAAUGAAAAUAUAACCCCAUCUAUUUUUGAUUAUUUGUUGUAAACAACAGAAUGAUGAAAUGAUAAAACAGCAGGCUACAAAAAAGAUGCUAGCUGCCACAUUUUGUAAUGUAGUAUCAUUCUUAUCAUGUUUGUUUAGCUUAAUAACAUAGAGUAAAGUGAAUCCAUCAGCCUUUGGUUUUUAUGUAUUAUUUAGCUUUUAUACUCUCAGAGUAAAUCAGAUUUUGAAGAGAUUUUUUGGUCCUCACAGUGCAUUUCUAUAUUGGCUUUCUUUAAUUUACAGCAGACAAAGCUUCAAUUCUACAGUUAAUUAGCCUGAGUGUUAUUUCGACCAUGGCUUCCUGAUUGGUAAUUGCGGGUCCCUGCGUAAAGUUUACAGUAAUUGUUUGAUGAUAAAGCAAAAUUUGCUCUGAAAUACUUCAAUUAAGGCUAAAAAAGGACACAGAAACGUGAUCUCAGAUGAACCCAGUUUGACCAGGACUUCACUUUGGAUCUGUUUCCCAGUAACACUUGACUCAGCUGAGUGAUAACCUCCAUGUAGUAUAUAUACGCUCCAUUUAUGUAAUGACAACAUGAAAACAUGAAAACAUGAAUCAGCUUCUGCCUUUGAAAGCGAAGCUUAACUGCUCAAGAACUCCAUGUACUGUCAGGGUGGGGAGCUUGAAACUCCCCCACCGACUGUAUAUGUGUGUGUAUCCGAAGGAUCAUAGGUGCACUACACACACACACACACACAUGCUGGUGUCUAUUUUUAGAGUUAGAAUUAUUUUUUCAGUCCAACCAGAAUCUUAGACCUAACCAGAACCAUUGUUGUUGGUCUCCAUAAGCUCCACAAGAACCUCAGUAUCUAUGCCAGAAAUGUAGGUAACAAAUACACACUCUCUCUCUCUCUCUUGCUCUCUCUCUCUCUCUCACACACACACACACCAGGGAGAUUAAGUCCUGUAAAGUAGACGCAGAGCUACUUGGUAUUCCACCAGAAUACUCCAGCUAGUCGGAGUGAGGAGCACUGAUGUAGGGGGAAGAUGGGUCGACAGAGGAAGACAGGAGCAAAGCAGUCAGAAGCAGGCGUGUCUGGUACGUCCUCUUAUAAACUGCAGACAUGAAACUGCCUUGACAGCUUAUUCUCAAAGCAGAUGCAAAGAAGUAAAGGACGUGGCUUUCUGCAACAAAAGUGCAGGGACGUGAACUUGAAAAACAGAUGCAAAACGACUCAUAUCUGGCUCUGACCCAGUUUGGUGGAGUCCGGCACAGCAUGUGUUCUUGACUAACACAGGCACACACACACACACACACACACUGUGACACCUUUUCCAGGUAAUGGGGUGGCGCUCUUUCCUGAAGCGCGGGUUACAAGGUUUGAGAAGCGACAUAUCUGCUGGGAGCUGGAUGUGUGUUCCACUCCCAUUUACUCAGUUCUUAAACUCAUUUUCACGUGGAGCCAACAACAGACAUAAAGACUCUCACAACACACACACACACACACACACAGAUUUGCACCUACUCUCUUGUCAUGGCACUUUUUUUUUUAAAUUGAUGAUACUUCAUCAGUCCUGCUGUCCCUGUCUAGCACACACACACACACACACACCUCUGUCUCCUUGUCUCCGUGUCCUCCAGCUUCCACUGUUUACCCUCUCCUGUAUCUUCCACGUCUCUUCCUUCCACUGCCCUGUGGACAGAGUGCAGCUGUUGGCAGUGCGGAGUGUGUGUGCGUGUGAGUGACCUUGUCUUAGGUUAGACCAGACCAGGCAGCUCUAUGGUCUGGCACAUAGAAGCAAUAGCCCUGAGGGGGAGAUUAGCUGAGGCGAUACGCUGCUUCAGAUGUUGUCCUCUGCAGCGGGUGUGUCUGUAGAUAAAGUCUGCCUUUAUUGACUGCUCAAUUUUUAUUUUAUUUUGUUUUUUUUAAGACUUUUAUUUGUAGAAAGUAAUAUAACCUAAAAUUAUAUAUUUUUACAGAAGAUUAUAAUGAAUUUAUUUUCUUAUAGCCAAUGGAGUCUCUGGCUUAUAAGGUAAUAUUUGUUUAUGUUGAGUACAAAUAUUUGUUUAUGUUGACACAAAUGAGUAGAAAAGACAAGGCAAAUAUAGUAAGCACCUGGAUGUGGUGCAGCCAUGAUCCAACUAUUUUAAUAUAAGUGCUGCUAAAAGAUGAGUCCACGCGCUGCACUUCUCAUUGGCGUAAAUGUCCACAAGAGGUAUCUAUACUCAAUCAAAGAUAUGCAACAGGUGUUCAGACAGAAAAAUCCAGAAAUUAUUAAUCCUUACAGUGUAUAGACGCAUAAAAUAAAUUAGCACAAGUAUACUGCGUUGGUUUUUUAAAAAAAAAAAAAUUAUAGAAAGUGCGUCAAAAUACUAGGAACUAAUUCUCCCAUGGUGCUUUGUUUCCUCACGGGAUCGGAAGUAAGACGUUCCUUUGCUACUAAGCAGUUGAGCGGCGCUUUUGAAUCCGUUUGAUCAACUUUGAAGUCUGCCGAACACAAUGUCAACACUUGGUUUUCUUCGUUUGGACAGAACUUCAGGCUUAUUGUUUGGCGAGGAUCCUAAAACCGUGAAAACUGACUGUGAGGUUCGGAUUCUCGACGUGGAAUCGCUGCCUGUUCUCAGUGUAUUUAUGCACCUGUGUUCGUCAACCGUCGAAGAAGCAGGCAGCCCUCGAUGACCUGCAGCACUAGUCGGAGACGGCGGUCCAUGGCCUGGAGGUGGGGCUGGAUGAGGACGGGGGACAGACGGUCACGCAGCAGAGACUCCUCCAUCAGGGAACUGAGCCUGUACUCCUCUUUGACCAGCAGCUGGAGCCGCAGAGAUGAGGGAGCCUCCAGGGGGCAGUUAAUCCAAGACCUGUGUGAUAUCCUCCUGACCUCGUGCCAACCCCACGGGACCUGCGUUGUGAGCAUGCAUCACGGAGACAUUCUACGGUCGCAGACUUUAAAGGCCUCGCCACGUGCAAACCAAACAGCAGUUCUACCAUGAGCUCUGGGCAGGAAAGACCUGACGUCCAAUUCUCCGUUCGGUUCCACCAGACCCUUCAAGGGGGAAGUCGAAGCCCACCCAAGACGUCUGAGAGGGGGCGCUGAAGACAACUCCCAUUGGUUUCUUGGUUGUAGGACGCUGUAGGACCCACUAACAUAUGGUUGGCAGCUUCUCCUGCGCCGCAUCAUCAUCUCAGUGAGUCAUCAUUCAUCAUCAUUCGCCAAGACGCUGCCUUUAUUUAAGAGGUUAAUUGAGUUCCAUGUGUUUAAUUCGAAGUGGGAGUUUUCACAUUUCUGCUCACAAAGCUAAAAGACAACACUGAGAACUGACGCUGCGCUGCGUUUUCCUCACAUAAGCCUCCAAACACCGGGCCGUUAUUAAAACUUAAAACCCUGUGAGUCAAUAUCAUCCAUCAUAGGUGAGAACCGAGGGCCCGUCCAGGAGCCCACCGGGUUUUACUGGUCGUCAGGUGGGGGAGUGGAGAGAGCGGCCACUUAAUGACCAAUCCUGAGCAUUUCAACAGUCAGUAGUAUUCCUCCAUAAUUUUGAGACACAGUGUUGUCAGUGAAUGGUCCUCACUGAAGCCCAGGCAGAUGAGCUGAGCAGAGUGAAGACUCCCUGACUUUGACUCUGACUGUGGACCAUGUGGUGUUUGUGGGCAGUCGUUCCCUGCGGCAGCAUGAGACUUACAUAAUGGCAACCUGUGAGCCGUCCUGUUUGUUUUCAUUUACGGACAAGUCAUUAGGAGCUGCGUGUGAGGCCGUGCUGUGAAUUGGAACUUAUUGCCCUUCGACAUGAUUAAUUGCUCACGGUCUGGAGAGUGAUAAGGCGCUGGCAUAUUAGAAGGAAAGACAGGGAGGAAAAAACACCAGUGAGCUUCUUUAAAAGGUGACAUUUAAACAGGUAAAUAAAACUGGAGUAGGAUUAUUUUAUAAUUCACAAAUCUGCUGUUAUUGAUGUAAGAAAAAAAAACAUUUCACCAGUGAGAGAUUAGACAUAGUGUAACGUGCUUUACCAGAAUUUUCAUGAAAAAAAUGUGUUUAUUUAAAAAAAAAUCCUUGAACUUUUUUAAAAAGUUUGAUCAGUUUUUUUAACCGGUCUGAUACCAAUGUUCAUGAACCUUCAUUUUCUGAGCAAACCUUCAAUACAAAUGUAGAAUUUUUAAGUUCAAUAGACUCCAAAAAUGUGGGACAGACAAGUUGGGUCACACUAUUAGGCCACAUCCCUUAUCAUUUUCAGAGACUGAAAUUGAGAUUGAAGGAAGGAAAAAAGGAGAAAGGAAACAGAGGAAUCUGAGAAAAGGAAGAAGGAAAAAAGAAAGAUGAAAGGAAUUUAAGAGGGAAAGGUGAGGAUAAAGGUGAGGAAACCAGGGCAGAAAAAAAGAAGAAGAACGACUGAUAAACGUUGGGGAGUAAGGAGAGGGAAGGGAAGAAGCAAGGAAAGAAUGAAGAAAGAAAGGAUGGAGGGAGGUAGGGAGAGGAAAAGAAAUUUGUAUGCACAAAAUAAGGGAUAGGACGUAGGAAAUGAAAGUGAAGAAUGAGAAAGAGGAAGGUAACUGAGGUUAGGAAGCAAAGAAAAAAGAGGAGAUAGAUGUCAAAGAAAAGGAACCUGAAAAGAAGAAGAAAGAAAAAAUAGGAAAUAAAACAGUGAAACAACAGAUAAAUUAAAAACCCUCAGAGAUUGACUCUGUACUAAUUCGAAGUGGCUCAGUCUCUCCACUGCGUUGGCUCCGUGCCGCGCUCCACAUCAAAGAACUCUCCGGAGCGUUUGAACAAAGUCAAUCAGCUCUUUCCUCUUAUUUAUUUAUUACAUAUUUAUCACUGUGAAAAUAGGCUGUCCUACAUCCUGCAUGACAGCGGCACACAGAGCUCAUGUGGAGAAAUCAUUAUCUAAUUUCACGGCUUGAAAAUGUCGCCGGCUCUGAACACUGAGGGCUGCUUUGUUUUAGGGAACAUCCUCCGCUGACAGAUCGUGUCAGGAGGCUAAUGGUGAGGUGGGUGAACGCACGUCCGCCUUCUGGAAGUCUGUCUCAGCUGCUACACUAAUACUGCUCACUUUGGUGAGUGUUGACUGCACUUCAGGGUAUUCCCACUGUCUCCCAGGGAAAACCAGGCUCAACUGUAACUCAUCCAGGUGCAGUCAGUACAGAUGCUACUGUACAUGUGACAAAAAACACCAUGUGACCAAUCUGUGCAAGUGAGUUGUAAAUACAGAUCAGUGUUUGUUCAAUCACAAAACAAAUGACUAAAUGACAUAGUGAUAACUUCCUGUCUGUUGACCUAAAUGAAGAAGAAAUUCUUUCAAAUUUUAUUUGGUGUUGCCGUUUCUCUCAGGCCGAUUUAUUUUAUUUUAUUUUAUUUUUUGCUCUAUCAUGAUAAACAACACCAGAAUCUAAAACAUUGCAUCAUUUCUGAACUUGGGGUGAAGCUGUUUCCAAAGCACUUGAUCUAUUUAUCAAUAUUUUAUACACAAGUGUCCUCUUGCUCAGAGUUUGGAUGUGUUCUUGCAAUAAAUGUAAAAAAAAAAAAAAAAAAAAAAAUAGAAAGAGGCAUCACAUCCAUUUCUUUG